AUUGCCCUUAGCGGCACUGAAGGUGUGGCUGCCGGGUGGCAGCGCCUGGCAGGGAGAAGAGACCCUGUGUGCCUGAGUCCUGCCCUGUGAACAUCGGAAUGAUCAAUAGCUUGACAUU